GCUCCGUUGGUGAACCAGCGGAGGGAUCAUUAUCGAGUUUUUCAACUCCCAAACCCCUGUGAACUUAUACCUUUACUGUUGCUUCGGCGGGUUAACGCCCCGGAAGGCCCAAAAAGCCGCCGGAACCAGGCGCCCGCCGGGGGACCCAAACUCUUGUAUUUCUUACUUUGCAUGUCUGAGUGGAAUCAUAAACAAAUGAAUCAAAACUUUCAACAACGGAUCUCUUGGUUCUG
rnacentral:misc_RNA from 1 species